AUGUUGAAUAAGAAAGGUAGUCAUCGGAGUUUCUUCGAGCUUGAGAUUGAUCGAAGGAAGUCGUACAAAUUGCUUGAGUGAAGAGUUUGGUAAUUCGACACAAGUAUUAGAACACAGGUGAUGUUGGCAAGGAUUUCGUUAACUAGAGCUAGCAAGUUGACAUUCCAUGGUGAGCCCCGCACCACUGUAGUCAAAGGCACACUUUAAGCGCACUUAAGCCCUGAAGCGAGGCUCAAAAACGUGUUGAGCACUUUCCUCGCUUUAUGUGCACUUCAAUGUCGUCAUCAAGGUUCUAAGGCAAACUUUUCCUUGCCAAUGAGCCUCUUCUUAAGAAGUGACAGUACAACAACAACAUACCCAGUAUAAUCCCACUAAGUUGGGUCUAGGGAGGGUAGAGUGUA